AUUGAACGCUGGCGGCAGGCUUAACACAUGCAAGUCGAGCGGGGUGAUGGUGCUUGCACUAUCACUUAGCGGCGGACGGGUGAGUAAUGCUUAGGAAUCUGCCUAUUAGUGGGGGACAACAUCUCGAAAGGGAUGCUAAUACCGCAUACGUCCUACGGGAGAAAGCAGGGGAUCACUUGUGACCUUGCGCUAAUAGAUGAGCCUAAGUCGGAUUAGCUAGUUGGUGGGGUAAAGGGCUACCAAGGCGACGAUCUGUAGCGGGUCUGAGAGGAUAAUCCGCCACACUGGGACUGAGACACGGCCCGGACUCCUACGGGAGGCAGCAGUGGGGAAUAUUGGACAAUGGGGGGAACCCUUAUCCAGCCAUGCCGCGUGUGUGAAGAAGGCCUUAUGGUUGUAAAGCACUUUAAGCGAGGAGGAGGCUCUUUUGGUUAAUACCCAAGAUGAGUGGACGUUACUCGCAGAAUAAGCACCGGCUAACUCUGUGCCAGCCGCCGCAGUAA
rnacentral:rRNA from 1 species